CCGCGGUAUCCUAACCGUGCGAAGGUAGCGUAAUCACUUGUUCUUUAAAUGUGGACUAGUAUGAACGGCACCACGAAGGUUAUACUGUCUCCUUUUUCUAAUCAGUGAAACUAAUCUCCCCGUGAAGAAGCGGGGAUAAUUCUAUAAGACGAGAAGACCCUAUGGAGCUUUAAACAACACAGCACUUACUAAAUAUCCUCUAAUGUUCCUGAAAUAUUAACUCUUUAAAGUAAGAUGACUGCAAGUUUUCGGUUGGGGUGACCACGGAGUAAAUCAUAACCUCCAUGUUGAAAGAACUUUUCUAAGCCAAGAAUAACCAAUCUAAGCAUUAACAAAUUAACAUCUAUUGACCCAAUAAAUUUGAUCAACGAACCAAGUUACCCUAGGGAUAACAGCGCAAUCCACUUCAAGAGCUCCUAUCGACAAGUGGGUUUACGACCUCGAUGUUGGAUCAGGGUAUCCCAGUGGUGCAGCCGCUACUAAAGGUUCGUUUGUUCAACGAUUAAAACCCUACGUGAUCUGAGUCCAGACCGGA
rnacentral:rRNA from 1 species